GACAGCUUGGUGUCCGCAUGGAUGGACUCCUUUUUAGCUCUUUUAAAAAAAUCUCAUUACAUCAAGUCCUGUGCUGAGCUGUCUGACCACAGUAAGGCCUAUACAACAACCACAGGUCCUCUUUCGAUUCAGGAAGUAGCCUGAAGCAAGAGCAAUUUCUGUUUCCUGUAAUUACCUGAAUUGAACGGUCCAAUAUUUAUUUUUCUCCAGGAUUGCUGGGAUCUGAGAAGACGUUCCGUAAGUUUCUGAGAAGAUCCUAGCCCAUCCAGGAGGAUGAAGAGGAGCUGCAGCAUCAGGGAGUAGAGAGGUUCAGAGGAGGAGGAGGGGGCAGAGCCUGCCAUCUUCAGCAGAGACAGUCUGGAGUCUGAGGGUGUCUGCUCUGACUCUGUGAUGGCGUCCAGACCAGGUCAGAACGCUGCAGUGGGUCUUGGUCUGGGCAUGGACAGCAUGGAGGAGGAAUAGAAGAAGGCCCGCUUCUUUGCCCACCUGGAGGGAGGUGCAUCCUCCACCAUAGACUACUCCAGAGUCAACAAAGAUCUGGAUUCCACCAGCGACUCCACCACAGCUACCACCCUCAGGAAAGCAGUGGCGGCUGUGGCGGCGGUCGAUCAGAGAGAGGAGGAAGCUAUGGAGUCUGACAGACUCUCCCCAGCCUCCCACUACAGCGAGGAUGAGCACUUCGAAGAUGCGGUCAUUGAGGAGGUGAAAAAUUGGAAGCCUAAAAGGCCUGCCAUGCUCACCAAAGUGUCCCUCCAUGAUUCUCUGGACUUGACCGGUGAACUCCUGCCCCCUGGAGCGGACAGUGACACCAGGGAGGAACCAGGGAGCGGAGGAGUCCAUAGAGACUGCACUAGCAGCCCAGUCAUAUGGCCAGAGUGGGGCCGGUGA
rnacentral:lncRNA from 8 species